rnacentral:rRNA from 1 species
UACGUGGGGUGCGAGCGUUAAUCGGAAUUACUGGGCGUAAAGCGUGCGCAGGCGGUGAUGUAAGUCAGGUGUGAAAUCCCCGGGCUUAACCUGGGAACUGCAUUUGUGACUGCAUUGCUGGAGUGCGGCAGAGGGGGAUGGAAUUCCGCGUGUAGCAGUGAAAUGCGUAGAUAUGCGGAGGAACACCGAUGGCGAAGGCAAUCCCCUGGGCCUGCACUGACGCUCAUGCACGAAAGCGUGGGGAGCAAACAGG